rnacentral:rRNA from 1 species
GGAGGGAGCUAGCGUUGUUCGGAAUUACUGGGCGUAAAGGGCGCGUAGGCGGCCGAGUAAGUCGCGUGUGAAAGGCCGGGGCUCAACCCCGAGCACUGCACGUGAUACUGCUCGGCUAGAGAAAGGUAGAGGCGAGCGGAAUUCCCGGUGUAGCGGUGGAAUGCGUAGAUAUCGGGAAGAACACCUGUGGCGAAGGCGGCUCGCUGGGCCUUUUCUGACGCUGAAGCGCGAAAGCGUGGGGAGCAAACAGGGAUUAGAUACCCUGGUAGUCCACGCCGUAAACGAUGGGUACUAGGUGUUGGGAGGCUUGGCCCCUCUCAGUGUCGUCGCUAACGCAUUAAGUACCCCCGCCUGGGGAGUACGGUCGCAAGGCUG